UCUUUUCGAGCACCUUGACGCCAUGUUUUCUUAAGGCUGAAUUCAUUCUUGUGGGAGUUUGUGAUUUUCAACAUGCAUUAAUCAUCUUUAAACCGCACUAAGUAUGCGGUCCAUGCUACCGGCCAUGCAGUUUGCUUGAUCCACCUUGUGCUGUGGUGAUGAGGCCUGUCCUCAUCGUCCCUGAAGCAAUGAAGUGACCGCACACACGUAUCAGGAAAGCCGGCAGCCUUUUUUUUUUAUUUUUUGGCAUGAAUUACUAACCUUUUGUUUUACAACGUUACCCUAAGUGGAACAUUUUUGUGGACUUAAUCUCGUCGGACUUUUCGUCAACCAUGUUUUUCUAAUUUGUUUUAAUUAAAUUUUUUGGGGACCAACGAAACAACAUUUUAUCUAAUUUAUGAAUUUUGAAACAACGAAACAGCGUAACAACUUGGACUAAAAAUAUGUUGAUAUAUUUAUGAACAAAGAAAAAUGUAACAAUUAAUUAUAAAAUUAUUCAUGUAGUAUAAAUUAAUAUUUUUG